rnacentral:rRNA from 1 species
GAUGAACGCUGGCGGCGUGCCUAAUACAUGCAAGUCGAGCGAACAGACGAGGAGCUUGCUCCUCUGACGUUAGCGGCGGACGGGUGAGUAACACGUGGAUAACCUACCUAUAAGACUGGGAUAACUUCGGGAAACCGGAGCUAAUGCCGGAUAAUAUAUUGAACCGCAUGGUUCAAUAGUGAAAGACGGUUUUGCUGUCACUUAUAGAUGGAUCCGCGCCGCAUUAGCUAGUUGGUAAGGUAACGGCUUACCAAGGCAACGAUGCGUAGCCGACCUGAGAGGGUGAGGGGACACAGUAGAAGUGAGACAAGGGAAAGAAGCGAAAGAGAGAGAGAGGGAGGGGAUGUGAGGGAAGGGGGGAUAGGGGGAAGGAACAAAGGUGAGUGAGGGAGAAAAGUCUUAAAAGGGUAAAACGCUGUGAUGAGGGAAGAAAAAAAGGAGAAGGAACUAUGCACGUAGCGAGGGGAGGGGGGAAGAAAGAAGCGGAUAAACUGGUG